UACGUAGGGUGCAAGCGUUGUCCGGAAUUAUUGGGCGUAAAGAGCUCGUAGGCGGUUUGUUGCGUUCGGCUGUGAAAAUCCCGAGGCUCAACCUCGGGUCUGCAGUCGAUACGAGCAAACUAGAGUGUUGCAGGGGAGACUGGGAAUUCCUGGUGUAGCGGUGAAGUGCGCAGAUAUCAGGAGGAACACCGGUGGCGAAGGCGGGUCUCUGGGCCGAAACUGACGCUGGAGGAGCGAAAGCGUGGGGAGCAAACAGG
rnacentral:rRNA from 1 species